AAGACCUUGCGCUUUUGGAGCGGCCGAUGUCUGAUUAGCUAGUUGGUGGGGUAAUGGCCUACCAAAGCGUCGAUCAGUAGCUGGUCUGAGAGGACGGCCAGCCACACUGGGACUGAGACACGGCCCAGACUCCUACGGGAGGCAGCAGUGGGGAAUUUUGGACAAUGGGCGCAAGCCUGAUCCAGCCAUGCCGCGUGAGUGAAGAAGGCCUUCGGGUUGUAAAGCUCUUUCAGCCGGGAAGAAAAGCUUGCGAUUAAUAAUCGCAAUUUAUGACGGUACCGGAAGAAGAAGCACCGGCUAACUACGUGCCAGCAGCCGCGGUAAUACGUAGGGUGCGAGCGUUAAUCGGAAUUACUGGGCGUAAAGGGUGCGCAGGCGGUUUUGUAAGUCAGAUGUGAAAUCCCCGGGCUUAACCUGGGAACU
rnacentral:rRNA from 1 species